rnacentral:rRNA from 1 species
GAUUAACGCUAGUGGCAGGCAUAAUACAUGCAAGUUGAACGGCAGCACAGGUAGCAAUACUGGGUGGCGAGUGGCGCACGGGUGCGUAACACGUAUGCAACCUACCCUAUACAGGCGAAUAACCUUUAGAAAUGAGGGCUAAUACGCCGUAGUAUUACAGAUGGGCAUCUAUUUGUAAUUAAAGAUUUAUCGGUAUAGGAUGGGCAUGCGUCCCAUUAGUUAGUUGGUAAGGUAACGGCUUACCAAGACGAUGAUGGGUAGGGGAUCUGAGAGGACUUACCCCCACACUGGUACUGAGACACGGACCAGACUCCUACGGGAGGCAGCAGUAAGGAAUAUUGGGCAAUGGCCGCGAGGCUGACCCAGCCAUGCCGCGUGCAGGAAGACGGCCUUAUGGGUUGUAAACUGCUUUUAUACGGGAAUAAUAGAGUGUACGCGUACAUUUAUGCAAGUAUCGUAUGAAUAAGCAUCGGCUAACUCCGUG